rnacentral:rRNA from 1 species
AUGGAGCAAGCGACGUCGAUCUCGUCGUCCUCCCGUGAACCUGCGCCGGCGCCGGAUGAGAAUGAGACGGGGAUGGAGCAGGUUCUGGCGGAUCUGCAGGCGCUCAAGGGGCUCUACGGCCUGCUUCACAGGGGCCCCCAGUCAAAUGAAAAUUUGAACGAGGCAUCAAGAGAUAUGUUAAUGAAGAUGCUAGACAACGCUACUCAGCAGACUCUCCUAAGACAGGCAAAGUUGCUGUCAGGCCCCCUGAUGUCUGCUGCUCUUGAGAGGAAGCUCUCGAUCCAACCAGGCCGCCGGACAAGCGGCAAAGCCGAGCAUCAACUGAAGCCGAUCGCGUCGCCCAGCCCCAGCCUCUGCGCCAGCCAGAUGUCCCGGAGGCUGAAGCCGCAGGUCUCGGUGAGAAGCCGGGACGCCCGCAGCGUGUACGACGACCAUCGCCGCCGCGAGAGGGACGGUCCUCUCCUUGCUCGCGUCGACUCCGGCCGCUCGUCAAGAACCGCGAUGCCGCAGCUCCAUCAGAGGACUCCGGAGCCGCGCCUUUCCCGCCUCGCCUCCAACCGCUCAUCCAGGGUCGCCGAGCCACGGCUCCAUCCGAGCACUCCGGAGCAGCGCCUUCCCCGCGUCGCCUCCUACCGUUCGUCCAGGGUCGCCGAGCCACGGCUCCGUCGGAGCACUCCGGAGCAGCUCCUUUCCCGCGUCGCCUCCAACCGCUCGUCCAGGGUCGCCGAACCACGGCUCCGUCCGAGUACUCCGGAGCAGCGCCUUUCCCGCCUCGCCUCCAACCGUUCGUCCAGGGUCGCCGAGCCACGGCUCCGUCCGAGCACUCCGGAGCAGCACAUUUCCCGGGUUGCCUCCAACCGUUCGUCCGGGGUCGCCGAGCCACGGCGCGGUGUGUCAAGAGGUCGCGCUCCGCGCGCCGACCGUAGCGACAGGCAUAGCAGGCUGCGCGGGAGCUCUGGACGUGGUGAUCAUUCGUCGUCGCCGCCGUCGUCGUCCUCGCCAGAGCGGAGCAGCAGGCGCCGCUCCGUGUCCCGCGCCCCGUCGUCGCAUGGUCGCGCCACGGUGCGAGGAGUGGGAGCGUAUGGCUCCUCGACGCGUCGUUACAGCAGGAGGCUGGAGUCUGGGUUAUCCAUGGGCGUGAGGUCAUGCCGCGGCUCCGAGCGGGCCGGACGCGGCGCGGCCACGCCGAGGCAGUCGUCGUCGAGCAGCGGCGAGGCGGUCACGAUAAGCAGCCGCAUCAGGCCGACCCGGGAACUCACAGAGCGCCGCGUACACGAAUCUGAAGAAACAGGAGAACGGAGCCUUCGGCGGCGACAGAGGAAAGAAGGUGCCGUCGGUGGCAGCACCAGUAUGGGCUGGUCAAGCCGCCGGCCGCGGCGAGCGCUGGACCCAAUCACCUCCGGCAGCACGUACAGCAGCAGCUCGUCAGCUGCCGCUAGCCCGUCUCCCUCCACCAGCCCCACGGCGCCAACAUCAACAUCGGCCCCUUCAGCUUCUUCCUGCUCCUCGUCGGUGUCAGCGCCGCGGCGAGGCAGUGCGCUGCCGGAGCACGGAUUCAAGGAGGCGUCGAGCGCGUCAAGAAGUCGCCGGCGCCGGGAAAGGCAGGAGAGAAGGGAAGGGCGGCUACGAAUGUUCAAGGAGAAGCUCGCGCUGGUGUUCCACCACCGCCACGACCAUCACCACCACCACCACAUCGGUGGCGAGCGCUCCGGCAGCCCCGUGUCCAGACGCGAUCGCCGCGGCAACAACAGCAAGUCGCCGUGGAGCUACCUCGGUGGCCUCGGCGGCAUGUUCCACCGCAGCAUUGGCCACGCCGCAAAGAAAACCCACGACGCAAAGAAAAUCCACGACGCAAAGAAAAACAACGACGCAAAGAAAAACCAGGACGAAAAGAAAAAGACCACGAGCCGGACGGUGGUGCCGGUGCCUUCGCCGGCGAAGAAGCGCGGCGGGGGGCAAACGCACUCGCUGUUCGGCGCGCUGGUGAAGCACAAGUUGGGAACGCGGAAGGCACCAGCGCGAGCUCCGACGGCGCGCGCGGGUACCCAGAGCAGGAUGCAGGUCAAUAAGAUGCACUGGUGGCAACUGCUGAGGCAACAGCACGCCCGGGCACAGGGUAAGGGCAGGCCUCCUCGUCGUUUAGGACAAGGGAAAGCACCGUAG